rnacentral:rRNA from 1 species
ACUCAAAUGAAUUGACGGGGACCCGCACAAGCAGCGGAGCAUGUGGUUUAAUUCGAAGCAACGCGAAGAACCUUACCAGGGCUUGACAUAAUAAUGACCGGUAUAGAGAUAUGCCCUUCCCUUCGGGGACAUUAUUACAGGUGGUGCAUGGUUGUCGUCAGCUCGUGUCGUGAGAUGUUGGGUUAAGUCCCGUAACGAGCGCAACCCUUGUAUUUAGUUGCUAACAGUUAAGCUGAGCACUCUAAAUAGACUGCCGAUGACAAAUCGGAGGAAGGUGGGGAUGACGUCAAAUCAUCAUGCCCUUUAUGUCCUGGGCUACACACGUGCUACAAUGGUCGGUACAACGAGGAGCCAGCGAGUGAUCGUGAGCCAAUCUCUUAAAGCCGAUCUCAGUUCGGAUUGCAGGCUGCAACUCGCCUGCAUGAAGUCGGAGUUGCUAGUAAUCGCGGAUCAGCAUGCCGCGGUGAAUGCGUUCCCGGGUCUUGUACACACCGCCCGU